rnacentral:rRNA from 1 species
UACGGGGGGGGCAAGCGUUGUUCGGAAUUACUGGGCGGAAAGGGCGCGUAGGCGGUUCGCUAAGUUGGAUGUGAAAACUCUGGGCUCAACCCAGAGCCUGCAUCCAAAACUGGCGGGCUAGAGUUCUGGAGGGGGUAGCGGAAUUCCUGGUGUAGCGGUGAAAUGCGUAGAUAUCAGGAGGAACACCGGUGGCGAAGGCGGCUACCUGGACAGAAACUGACGCUGAGGCGCGAAAGCUAGGGGAGCAAACAGG